rnacentral:rRNA from 1 species
UACGUAGGGGGCAAGCGUUGUCCGGAAUCAUUGGGCGUAAAGAGCGCGUAGGCGGUCCGAUAAGUCGGUUGUGAAAACUGGGGGCUCAACCCUCAGAGGCCGACCGAUACUGUCGGGCUAGAGUGCGGAAGAGGCGAGUGGAAUUCCUGGUGUAGCGGUGAAAUGCGCAGAUAUCAGGAGGAACACCAAUUGCGAAGGCAGCUCGCUGGGACGUGACUGACGCUGAGACGCGAAAGCGUGGGGAGCAAACAGG